GUGGGGAAUUGUUCGCAAUGGGCGCAAGCCUGACGACGCAACGCCGCGUGGAGGAUGAAGACCUUCGGGUCGUAAACUCCUUUCGAUCGAGACGAAUGUUUUUCGGGUGAACAAUCCGGAAAAGUGACGGUACCGAGAGAAGAAGCCCCGGCUAACUCUGUGCCAGCAGCCGCGGUAAUACAGGGGGGGCAAGCGUUGUUCGGAAUUACUGGGCGUAAAGGGCUCGUAGGUGGCCAACUAAGUCAGACGUGAAAUCCCUCAGCUUAACUGGGGAACUGCGUCUGAUACUGGAUGGCUUGAGUUUGGGAGAGGGAUGCGGAAUUCCAGGUGUAGCGGUGAAAUGCGUAGAUAUCUGGAGGAACACCGGUGGCGAAGGCGGCAUCCUGGACCAACACUGACACUGAGGAGCGAAAGCCAGGGGAGCAAACGGGAUUAGAUACCCGGGUAGUCC
rnacentral:rRNA from 1 species